rnacentral:rRNA from 1 species
GAUGAACGCUGACCGAAUGCUUAACACAUGCAAGUCUUUCGCGAAUCUGUGCUUUCACCGGCUAGCCAAGGCGGACGGGUGAGUAACGCGUAAAGAACUUGCCCUGCAGACAGGGAUAACAGACGGAAACGACUGAUAACACCAGAUACAGUUGCCGGCACGCACGUGCCUGGCAAUGAAAAGAGAUGCUGCAGGAGAGCUUUGCGUCCUAUUAGCUUGUUGGUGAGGUGACGGCUCACCAAGGCGAUGAUAGAUAGCCGGCCUGAGAGGGGGAACGGCCACAAGGGGACUGAGAUACGGCCCUUACUCCUACGGGAGGCAGCAGUGGAGAAUAGUGGACAAGGGGGGCAACCCUGGUACAGCAGUUCUGUGUGCACGAAGAAGGUUUUCGGAGUGUAAAGUGCUUUCAGCAGGGAAGAAGAAAGUGACGGUACCUGCAGAAGAAGCGACGGCUAAAUACGUG